AAAGAUGCGCUAAUACCGCAUAAUCUCUAAGGAGAAAAGCAGGGGAUCGCAAGACCUUGCGCUUUUGGAGCGGCCGAUGUCUGAUUAGCUAGUUGGUGAGGUAAAGGCUUACCAAGGCUUCGAUCAGUAGCUGGUCUGAGAGGACGACCAGCCACACUGGGACUGAGACACGGCCCAGACUCCUACGGGAGGCAGCAGUGGGGAAUUUUGGACAAUGGGGGCAACCCUGAUCCAGCCAUGCCGCGUGAGUGAAGAAGGCCUUCGGGUUGUAAAGCUCUUUCAGCCGGAACGAAAAGGUUACGGUUAAUAACCGUGACAAAUGACGGUACCGGAAGAAGAAGCACCGGCUAACUACGUGCCAGCAGCCGCGGUAAUACGUAGGGUGCGAGCGUUAAUCGGAAUUACUGGGCGUAAAGCGUGCGCAGGCGGUUUUGUAAGUCAGAUGUGAAAUCCCCGGGCUUAACCUGGGAACUGCGUUUGAAACUACAAGGCUAGAGUGUGGCAGAGGGGGGUGGAAUUCCACGUGUAGCAGUGAAAUGCGUAGAGAUGUGGAGGAACACCGAUGGCGAAGGCAGCCCCCUGGGUUAACACUGACGCUCAGGCACGAAAGCGUGGGGAGCAAGCAGGAUUAGAUACCCUGGUAGUCCACGCCCUAAACGAUGUCAACUAGUUGUCGGGUCUUAACGGACUUGGUAACGCAGCUAACGCGUGAAGUUGACCGCCUGGGGAGUACGGUCGCAAGAUUAAAACUCAAAGGAAUUGACGGGGACCCGCACAAGCGGUGGAUUAUGUGGAUUAAUUCGAUGCAACGCGAAAAAUCUUACCUACCCUUGACAUGUACCGAAGCCCGCCGAGAAGUGGGUGUGCC
rnacentral:rRNA from 1 species